rnacentral:rRNA from 1 species
GACGAACGCUGGCGGCGUGCUUAACACAUGCAAGUCGAGCGGUAAGGCCCUUUCGGGGUACGACGAGCGGCGAACGGGUGAGUAACACGUGGGUGACCUCGCCCUCAGCUCUGGGAGUAAGCCUGGGAAACCGGGGUCUAAUACUGGAUAUGACUCCAUGACGCAUGUUGUGGGGUGGAAAGCCUUGUGCGGCUGAGGAUGGGCCCGCGGCCUAUCAGCUUGUUGGUGGGGUGAUGGCCUACCAAGGCGACGACGGGUAGCCGGCCUGAGAGGG